rnacentral:tRNA from 1 species
GGCGGAGUAGAGCAGGUUGGUAGCUCGCAAGGCUCAUAACCUUGAGGUCACAGGUUCAAAUCCUGUCUCCGCAA